UUUUGUUUAACUAUGGCAAAAAGAAGUUUUUUCACUAUAACUGCAUAAAAUAUUUCUAUUUUAUUCUAAUAAAGUAUUUUACAGUUUUUAUUAGCAGUUAGUUUUUCAUUUAAACUAGUUUUUUUAAGAUAGUGUAAAUUAAAGGGGAUAGGACACAGUGCCAGCAUCCGCGGUUAAUCUGUUUUCUUUGCUUUUUUGUAUCUUUUAAAUAAUCAUUUUUAAGUAAGGUUAGGUGAAAUUUUCUUAAGUCUAUUUUCAAUGAUUAUAAUUUAAUAAGAAUUUCAUAAUGACAGGGAUUAGAUACCCCAUUAGUAUAUUGUUAUAAUAAAGUUUAGUUUUAUAACUAAAAUAGUUUGGCAGCGAGUUAAUCCUAUUGGGGGAAUGUGUGUUGUAAAGGACGAUCCGCCCAAUAAAUUACUUUAUUUAUGUUGGUGUAUAUCUGGUUAAAUAUUAUUGCUUUAUAGCUGAAUUUGUUUACAAAUUAUUAAGCCAAGUCUAUGUGCUGCGUAAUAAAGUCUUUCAUGCGUUACUUUUAUAAAUAAUUUUUUGUAAAAUAAAUUUUUUUAGGACUCAAAAGUAAUAAUGAAUAAAUAGGUCAUUGUGAAAUAGGUUUAACUCGGGUACACACCGCCCGUCACCCUCGAUUUUUGUUGAGGUAAGUCGUAACAUGGUAACCUUAAAUGAAUUUGAGGUUAAUUGUUUUAAUAC
rnacentral:ncRNA from 1 species